rnacentral:rRNA from 1 species
AGAGUUUGAUCCUGGCUCAGAAUCAACGCUGGCGGCGUGCCUCAGACAUGCAAGUCGAACGAUUAAAGCUCUCUUCGGAGAGUGCAUAGAGUGGCGCACGGGUGAGUAACACGUAAGUAAUCUACCUUCGAGUGGGGAAUAACAGUCGGAAACGGCUGCUAAUACCGCAUAAUGCAGCGGCAUCGCAAGAUGACAGUUGUUAAAGAUUUAUCGCUUGAAGAGGAGCUUGCGGCAGAUUAGCUAGUUGGUAAGGUAAUGGCUUACCAAGGCUACGAUCUGUAACCGGUCUAAGAGGACGGUCGGUCACACUGACACUGAAUAACGGGUCAGACUCCUACGGGAGGCAGCAGUCGGGAAUUUUGGGCAAUGGGGGAAACCCUGACCCAGCAACGCCGCGUGAAGGAUGAAGUAUUUCGGUAUGUAAACUUCGAAAGAAUAGGAAGAAUAAAUGACGGUACUAUUUAUAAGGUCCGGCUAACUACGUGCCAGCAGCCGCGGUAAUACGUAGGGACCAAGCGUUGUUCGGAUUUACUGGGCGUAAAGGGCGCGUAGGCGGCGUGGUAAGUCACUUGUGAAAUCUCCGAGCUUAACUCGGAACGGCCAGUGAUACUGCUGUGCUAGAGUGCAGAAGGGGCAAUCGGAAUUCUUGGUGUAGCGGUGAAAUGCGUAGAUAUCAAGAGGAACACCUGAGGUGAAGACGGGUUGCUGGGCUGACACUGACGCU